rnacentral:rRNA from 1 species
UACAGAGGUCUCAAGCGUUGUUCGGAUUCAUUGGGCGUAAAGGGUGCGUAGGUGGCGCGCUAAGUCAGGUGUGAAAUCUCGGGGCUUAACUCCGAAACUGCAUUUGAUACUGGCGUGCUUGAGGACUGGAGAGGAGACUGGAAUUCAUGGUGUAGCAGUGAAAUGCGUAGAGAUCAUGAGGAAGACCAGUGGCGAAGGCGGGUCUCUGGACAGUUCCUGACACUGAGGCACGCAGGCCAGGGGAGCAAACGGG